UAGUUUUUCUACCAUAUUUACUUUCUUUUCUUAUGAAGUUAAAUCAUUUGCGGUGAGAUAUUUUGAAAUGCUUUCUCCAGGAUAGAAGUCUGAGCACAAAGCACCUGGGUUCUCUUUCAUGGUCUUGCAAAGUUGAAAUCAAGAUGUCAUCCAUGUUGUGGUUCUCACGCGGAGUUUGGGAUCCUCUUUCAAUGUUCACAGUGUGCUGAGGUCUGUCUUACAUCGUCUCACGAAAUCACCACUGCAACCCUGUAAGGCAGACUUUCCCCUUAUGAUAUCAAGAUGGCUCACCAGCAGCUCCAAACUCACAUCUCUGCCAGCAUGACAACUCUAGAGGAAAAAGUUCUUCUUUCUCCCAACCUCCAAAGGAAAGGAAGGAAAUUGAUAUGCCAAAAACCAUACAAAAGAUAAAUCCAGGAG